rnacentral:lncRNA from 1 species
CAGCUGUUUUUCCCGCCUCUGCUGUCAAGUUCUGCUGUCAAGGUGAUUUGCCCAGUUUUCUGCGAGUGAUUUGGGCAAAUCACUGGGCAAAUCGCUCUCUGGGAUUCAGUCCAGUUUCUGUCUCUGUAGUUCUGCUGUUAAGGUGAUUUGCCCAGUUUUCUUCGAGUGAUUUGGGCAAAUCACUGGGCAAAUCACUUUUGCUGUCAUUUUCUGCACUUUUUCUCCAACUCUUCAAUUUCUUCAUUUUCUACAAAAACAUAACAAAAACACAAUUUAAGCUAGGAAAAUAUGUAAAUAAACAGUAAAUAAUAUAUUAAAAACAUGGCUAAAUUAUGCUUGGUCAAAUACCCCCACACCUAGCUUUUUGCUUGUCCUCAAGCAACAAAUAACUUAGCCAAUCAAGCCCCCCUUUUCUUUUGAGCCUAAGUACCACUUAAUCAGCCCCCCUAGACUCCU